rnacentral:misc_RNA from 1 species
UCCGCCUUGGAGGCGGCAGUCUCCCAUGAAAAAACAACAUAGGAUGAGGGUUGCGCUCGUUCGCUGACUUAACAGUACACCUCAAGGCACGAGCUGACGACAACCGUGCAGCGCCUGUCUUCGGGUUCCUUGCGGCACUCCGACGUUUCUGCCGGAUUCCCGAGAUGUCAAGCCUAGGUGAGGUUCUUCGCUUACUAUCGAAUUAAACCCCAUGCUCCACCGCUUGUGUGGGUCCCCGUCUAUUCCUUUGAGUUUUAGUCUUGCGACCGUACUACCCAGGCGGCGAGCUUACCGCGUUAGCUUGGACACGGAAGGCAAUUGAGAACCUCCCACAUCGAGCUCGCAUCGUUUAGGGCGUGGACUA